CCAAAUUGCCGUAAUCGCCACUUCGUCUGGUCCCCGUGAAGCUCGCUCGGCUUCCCCCCGCCACUCACCCUACCCCUACGCCUCUUCCGAGAACUCCAAGAAGGACCGUCUAGGGUUUCGGAGGUGUUGAUCGAGAUCGAGAGAGAGCGAGCGAUGGAGAAGGAGGGAGGACUUGGUGUUCGAAGGAAGCCGACGAAGAGGAGAAGCAGCAGAGGAUUCGCGAAGGCGGUGAAGGAUUACCUAGUCUCCGAUUCCUACAUGUACGCCGCUCUGAUCGAUUCGCCGACGUCGGAUUCUCCCCCUUUACCGGACGUCCGCUCUCCUCCUACUGCAGAAAAGGUGAGCUGAUAAUGGGGAGAUUUCUUGUUGGUCGAAGGUCAGAGGGCUUACGGUGCAUUGUGUGAAACUUAUUUGAGAUAUAAAAGUUUUUUCAUGAAGCUUAUGCAAACCCAAAGCAUUCAGGAGUUGAAGGAUGAAAAGACAUACCAUGCAUAGCAGGUUGUAUCGCUAGUUGACACUGGAAGGAUCAACUAAGUGCUAAGGACAACUUGAGUUGUUGUUAUGAGUAGACACUCAAGAUGGUGCAGGAUGCAGAUUUCGUAAUUCAUAGGCUUGUAUGAUGGCUUGAAAGAGAUAAGUACUAGAUCUUUUUGAGAACAAUAAAUCAGUAUACAUUAGUGAUCAGUGGGAAUUUAUUUGUUGAAUAUUAUAUCUUCUAAUAAUUUUCUUGGUUUUAUAGCUGUCUUGUCUUGGAGGACAUUUUUGCUUAUGGUGCUUGACAAACUUGUUCUGUAUAUGGUCAAGUGAAAAACUAUCACUUUGCACAUGAUGAGCAUGACCUUAAAAAUAUUUUGCAUGAAUGUGCUAAGUUCAUACAAUAUUGGAGAUCACAUUACAUGAACACAUGAAGCCUAUAAAGAUUCUGCUUUCCUUUUUCAUUUGGCUUUUUCUCUCUAUCUCUCUCAAUCUCCGUGUGUGUGUGUGUGUGUGCGCGCGCGCAUGCGUGUGCGCACGUGUGUGUCUAGUGUGCUUGGCUGCUCACGGUAUAAUGUUUUGAUACCAAAGAGCAUAAGAUAUCUCUUGCGUAUGAACAUUUUGAUUUUCAAAAUCCUUCAACUUUGUCUUUCCCCCAUAAAUUUAGAAUCUUAAACAAAAACUUGUAUAUUCAAGUCCUAAAAUCUAUAUUUAUCCAUGGUCUGGUAAGACCCCAACUUUUUUUAAAAAAUAAUUUAAAAGAAAGUGUUUAGAAUCUGAAGAAAUAAUCGGAUGUGAAUUGUGAUCUUUAACUGCCAGAAUUUUUUGGGCGAGCGUUGUCAUCCAAAUUAUAUAGCAUCGAUGUGAAUGUUCCUCUUUGUAUCCAGAUUUGAAGUUUAAUUCAAAGUGGCAGAACUGGAACUUGGUUUUUGACUCACAACUGAAUGGAAACUAGGGUUGACUUUGCAGUUUUGUCGAAUACUAAUUUACUGUUAGUAUCUUAUUAUUUCUUUAAAUGGUAGGAAGCAUUUUCCUUGGGCUAAAUUUUCUUUGGGCUAAAUUUUCUUCUGUUAGUUUUAUGUAUGGUUUGAAGCACUUUGAUGACAGAUCACAAGAUCAAUGAAAAUGGAAAUAAAUUUUCUAAUAUAAGUUUGUUUAUCCUAUAGGUUAAAUUUCAUAGACAUUUUUGUUAUCAGAUGCCAGAUUAUUAAUGAUAAUAUGCACUCUAAGAAAGACAUUGUGCACAUCCUACUUUGUAAAGAAACUGUGGUACAAGGUGGAACUACCAAAAUAACAUAUUAUCAGGUCCAGAAAAUAUAAUAUGACUUGAUGUCUUGUGUAAUUCAUAACACUUGGCUGAUUUUUUCUUCAUAAAUUUAUAUUUUCUUAAUUAUGGAUUCAUGAUUUUUUUUUACACAGUAUAUUAUAGCUUGAGUACUUUUCUGAAUUCAACUGACAAAAAAGAAAAAAGACAAUAUAUCCA